GACGAACGCUGGCGGCGUGCCUAAUACAUGCAAGUCGAGCGCAGGAAGUCAUCCGAACCCUUCGGGGGGACGUUGACGGAAUGAGCGGCGGACGGGUGAGUAACACGUAAAGAACCUGCCCUCAGGUCUGGGAUAACCACGAGAAAUCGGGGCUAAUACCGGAUGGGUCAUCGGACCGCAUGGUCCGAGGGUGAAAGGCGCUUCGGCGUCGCCUGGGGAUGGCUUUGCGGUGCAUUAGCUAGUUGGUGGGGUAAUGGCCCACCAAGGCGACGAUGCAUAGCCGACCUGAGAGGGUGAUCGGCCACACUGGGACUGAGACACGGCCCAGACUCCUACGGGAGGCAGCAGUAGGGAAUCUUCCACAAUGGACGAAAGUCUGAUGGAGCAACGCCGCGUGAACGAUGAAGGCCCUCGGG
rnacentral:rRNA from 1 species